ensembl:lncRNA
AAGAAAUAGCAAAAAAAAAAGACAAAAAAAAAAUAAAAAAUAAAAAAAUAAAAAUAAAAAAAAAAAAAUAAAAGCUGAAACACAAACAAGUUCUACCUAAAUCAUACAUCAAAGUAACUGCAGUUGAACUUUGAACAACAUGGGUUUGAAUGGCAAGGCUCUCCACUUAUGUACAGAAUCCUUUCUGUAGUAACUACCACAGCACUACAGGAUUCUGAGGUUGUUGAUUCUACAGAUUGGGAACCAUAGAUACAGAAGGACCACAGAUACAUACAGAGAGGGCUGACUCUAAGUAAUACAAAGAUUUUCCACUGUGCUAAGGGUCAGUGCCCUAACCUCCUCUCCCCAAGUUCAAGGGUACAUUUUUAUUAUAUAAAAAUUUUUUCAUUAUUUCAGGUUUUCUAACUUGAACUAUGAUACAUUUUGCACUUAUCAACUAAUUUAAACCUAACAAGAAGACAGGUGUGAAGGUAUGAAAACAGAUGUGAGGCACAGAGAGAUGCACAUACCUGCUGCCCAGAAACUUGUACAUAGGCACGCAGCUAGUACAUGGAUGGCUAGAGUUUCAAACCAUUCCACUGGUAUUAUAAUCAGCUUUAAAAUUUAUUAUUAUAACUACCAUGCUUGGCCAGGGAUGUUCACUCCUGUAGGAUAUUGAUAGAUGCUUAAAAAUAGGGUCUGUCCAUAGCUUGGAGAAAGCCUGUAUCAUGGAGCUGGUUGCUGCAGUUUUGACCCUGUAGCAGGGUCACAAGGUGUAGGUAGACCUUUGGUGUCACAAAUCAUCAUGCUGCAGAUGUGUAGGUAUGAUGUCCUUGCUACCGGCUGAAAGUGAUGUUAUUCAAGCAGCCAAUUUUAUUUUUUUGGAGGGGAUGGGAAAAGAGCAAGAUACUCUGACAACUGCCGACACAAUUGAAUGUUGGGCUGAAUUCACUGAAUCAGGCUGAAUCAGAGAACACAAGCUUCUGCUUCCGGCUAAGAAAAUGCUGCCUGCUUCCAUAGCACAAUCCACCAGAACCCAAAGGCUGUCACAAAAUAGAUGACAUCAAAUAUGUGAUCUUGGGUUCCUGUAAUGAAUAUCCUACUUGGUGGUCUAACCCAACAGCGAUUCACUUUCUAACAUAAGAAUUUAGGUAGUAGUCCAAGGAAGGAAGCAACUUCCCUGUCAUGUCAUGGAUGUCUGAGUCUCCUGUCUUUGUGCUCGAGAUUCUUACCACGAGUAUGGCUGUGAAUCAAAGUUUACCUCAUUGGUGAAAUGUGGCUGCUCUACUUGUAGCCUUAAGUCAGUUUCCGGUGGGAAGGAAAAGGGGAAAGGGUGAGUAGAAAGCAUGGACUCCCUUGUAAUGAAAAGAAAGCACUUCUAGAAAUCCCAAGCAGAGUUUUGUUCCUAUCCCGUGGGCUAGAAGCACAUGACUUUCCUAGUAGAAAGUGAGACUAGGAAAUGGAGCUUUCACCUGGACACAAACUCAAACUGAAAAAAUGGGGGGUUCUGUAACAUACAAUGAUGUGGAAAGUGGAUAAUGAGUAGACAAACAACACACCUAACACAGUCUGUCCAUAUACUAUUUUUUUAGUGCUCCCAGGGCAUGUAGAAGUUCCUGGACCAGGGAUUCAAAGCAAACCACAGCAGAGAGUUCCAGUCAUGGCUCAUGGUUAACGAAUCUGAAUAGCAUCCAUGAGGACAAGGAUUAGAGCUCUGACCUCGCUCAGUGGGUUAAGGAUCCAGCAUGGCCGUGAGCUGUGGUGUGGGUCACAGACACAGUUUGGAUCCUGUGUUGCCGUGUCUCUGGUGUAGGCUGGCUGCUACAGCUCCAAUUGGACCCCUCACCUGGGAACCUCCAUAUGCCGUGGGUGCAGCCCUUAAAAGAAAAAAAAAAAAA